rnacentral:rRNA from 1 species
UACGUAGGGUGCAAGCGUUAAUCGGAAUUACUGGGCGUAAAGCGCACGUAGGCGGUUCGUUAAGUGGGAUGUGAAAUCCCCGGGCUCAACCUGGGAACUGCAUUUCAAACUGGCGAACUAGAGUCUGGUAGAGGGGGGUGGAAUUUCCUGUGUAGCGGUGAAAUGCGUAGAUAUAGGAAGGAACAGCAGUGGCGAAGGCGGCCCCCUGGACUAAGACUGACGCUGAGGUGCGAAAGCGUGGGGAGCAAACAGG